UCUCCGGCCCCGGCCCCGGCUCGCGCUGAGGGGAUGGCGGGCGGGAUGGAAGGGGAGGGUUGGCCCUGGUGGCCCGUCAGAAUCUUCGUCCCGGGCAGCCCAGGGUUUCGGGGCUGGGUCAGCCCGCCCGCCAGCCCUGGGCUAGGGAGACUCUCGGAGCCGGCCGUGGCCUUUGCCGUAAAGAGUCCCUAGCAGGGUGGGCGGCACCGACAGAGCCCGCUCGGGCGGGCGGAGGUGGCCCCACGGGCACGUCUGUCCGCGCUCCACGCGUGAAAAUCCUGCCCCUCCGAGGGACCGCGAACCGGCCUGUCCCGGGGACUGGCCCCCUCGGACGCGGCUCUGGGAGGACAAGUCCCGCUCCUGUUUCUUGUGUCCUGAGUUUUUUCCAGCAGUUCCCGUUGAUGGAGUUCUACAAGAAGAGAUGCCAAACAACUGAAAGCAGUGGUGCCUGAGCUUGUAGCAGAAGCACUACCUCAGCUGCGAUGUUCCCCAGUAAAGCCCUGGAUGUGUAGUAUGUUCAGGCUGGAAUGGACAGUCAUCAAGUCAGUCUUAACUCUUCCCAAAUCAAAAUACUGCUAGUUCUUCCCUGAAGCUUGCAGCCUGCUGCUGCCCCUGACAUGUGAGCCUCGCCUGCCAGAGAGGAAAGUGCUGCUUUCUGUUACAUUGUCUGACAUCCUUGGCACUGCUUUUCCUUCAGAAAAUGGCUGGAUGGAAGAGGAACAAGACUCCCACCUUUAACCUCCAUGGGUUAGAGUGAUCUUGUAGGAUAUUGGAAACCUACUUUUAGUUGCUCCUUUCCUGAGGAGCCCCAAACAGAGUAGUACUACUUCUUAGGAAAAACCCUUAAGUAGCUGGUACUUCCACCACUAGCAGAUGGGCUGCUUGGCAGAUGUGGGGCACUGGAUCUGGUGUUUCAGUUCUCACUUUUAAUGUCCUUCCUCUUUCAUGAGUGUUUAGUGGUCAAUGUGACAGAGAGAAAGAAAAUAACUCUUCAACUAGUGAUUAGUACACUUAUUCAAGAGGAAGAUCUGUUCUACUGCAUGAUUAUAUACUUAAUAUAAAACUCAAGUUCAGAUAAUGUUUUUCCCAUUUUGUACUUCAAUGUAUAAAUAAAUUCAUUUAAUGGAUCACAA